rnacentral:rRNA from 1 species
AUUGAACGCUGGCGGCAGGCCUAACACAUGCAAGUCGAGCGGAUGAAGGGAGCUUGCUCCUGGAUUCAGCGGCGGACGGGUGAGUAAUGCCUAGGAAUCUGCCUGGUAGCGGGGGAUAACGUCCGGAAACGGGCGCUAAUACCGCAUACGUCCUGAGGGAGAAAGUGGGGGAUCUUCGGACCUCACGCUAUCAGAUGAGCCUAGGUCGGAUUAGCUAGUUGGUGGGGUAAAGGCCUACCAAGGCGACGAUCCGUAACUGGUCUGAGAGGAUGAUCAGUCACACUGGAACUGAGACACGGUCCAGACUCCUACGGGAGGCAGCAGUGGGGAAUAUUGGACAAUGGGCGAAAGCCUGAUCCAGCCAUGCCGCGUGUGAAGAAGGUCUUCGGAUUGUAAAGCACUUUAAGUUGGGAGGAAGGGCAGUAAGUUAAUACCUUGCUGUUUUGACGUUACCAACAGAAUAAGCACCGGCUAACUUCGUG